AGAAGACAAGACACUUCACAGAGAAGCUGUCACUGCAGCCGGCUGGCCAGCUCAGUGGGGAACAGAGUUUGCCAGACGGACAAUCAAGGGUCCCUCACCCACCACCUUGGUAGGCUUCCAACUGCCACAACCAACAGAGGCCCAGGCAUCAAAGGGCAGUAACAAACGGCCCCCUGCACCCCACCCUGCGAGGCCACAGAAUCGAUCCACGCAAGAGUGCGGCUGUCACUGAUGCCACCAGCUGUGGAGUACGUUGUUCCACAACAAAUGAACCUGCGAGCGGCUGAAAUCUCAUCCUACAGGCAAAGAGCACCACCGUAUCACCUGCAGCCAUGGCCACAUGACCAGAUUCCAACAGCAGCUGGAUGGAGAACCUGGGGAUGAACAGUGAAGUGCUCAACAACGAAGACCGC
rnacentral:lncRNA from 10 species